UUCCGGUUGAUCCUGCCGGAGGUCACUGCUAUUGGGAUUCGACCAAGCCAUGCGAGUCGCGAGGGUUCGGCCCUCGGCUGACGGCUCAGUAACACGCGGAUAAUCUGCCCUUAGGUGGAGGAUAACCUCGGGAAACUGAGAAUAAGACUCCAUAGAUCUAGGAGGCUGGAAUGCACUUAGAUCAAAAACUUCGGUGCCUAAGGAUGAGUCUGCGGACUAUCAGGUAGUAGUCAGGGUAAUGACCUGACCAGCCUAUGACGGAUACGGGUUGUGAGAGCAAUAACCCGGAGAUGAUAUCUGAGACACGAUAUCAGGCCCUACGGGGCGCAGCGGGCGCGAAAACUUCACACUGUGCGAAAGCACGAUGAGGGAAUCCCAAGUGCUGGCUCGUAAGAGUCAGCUGUUUUUCUGUCUAGAAAACAGAGAGAGUAAGAGCUGGGUAAGACGGGUGCCAGCCGCCGCGGUAAUACCUGAAGCUCAAGUGGUGGCCGCUAUUAUUGGGCCUAAAACGUUCGUAGCCGGUCUAGUAAAUGCCUGGGUAAAUCAUACGGCUUAACCGUACGAAUUCCGGGUAGACUGCUGGACUUGGGACUGGGAGAGGCUAGAGGUACUCCUGGGGUAGAGGUGAAAUUCUGUAAUCCUAGGGGGACGACCAGUGGCGAAGGCGUCUAGCUAGAACAGGUCUGACGGUGAGGAACGAAGCCCUGGGGCGCAAACGGGAUUAGAUACCCCGGUAGUCCAGGGUGUAAACGCUGCUUGCUUGAUGUUAGUCGGGCUCCGAGCCCGAUUAGUGUCGGAGAGAAGUUGUUAAGCAAGCUGCCUGGGGAGUACGGCCGCAAGACUGAAACUUAAAGGAAUUGGCGGGGGAGCACCGCAACGGGUGGAGCGUGCGGUUUAAUUGGAUUCAACGCCGG
rnacentral:rRNA from 1 species